CGGGGUGUAGCGCAGGGGCAGCGCGCUGCGUUCGGGACGCAGAGGUCGAAGGUUCAAAUCCUUUCACCCCGACCA
rnacentral:tRNA from 1 species